GAUGAACGCUGGCGGCGUGCUUAACACAUGCAAGUCGAACGGAAAGGCUCCUGCUUGCAGGGGUACUCGAGUGGCGAACGGGUGAGUAACACGUGGGUGAUCUGCCCUGCACUUCGGGAUAAGCCUGGGAAACUGGGUCUAAUACCGGAUAGGACGAUGGUUUGGAUGCCAUUGUGGAAAGUUUUUUCGGUGUGGGAUGAGCUCGCGGCCUAUCAGCUUGUUGGUGGGGUAAUGGCCUACCAAGGCGUCGACGGGUAGCCGGCCUGAGAGGGUGUACGGCCACAUUGGGACUGAGAUACGGCCCAGACUCCUACGGGAGGCAGCAGUGGGGAAUAUUGCACAAUGGGCGCAAGCCUGGUGCAGCGACGCCGCGUGGGGGAUGACGGCCUUCGGGUUGUAAACUCCUUUCGCUAGGGACGAAGCGCAAGUGACGGUACCUGGAGAAGAAGCACCGGCUAACUACGUG
rnacentral:rRNA from 1 species